rnacentral:rRNA from 1 species
AUGAGUCGAACGAAGGCUUCGGCCUUAGUGGCGCACGGGUGCGUAACGCGUGGGAAUCUGCCCUUUGCUUCGGAAUAACAGUUAGAAAUGACUGCUAAUACCGGAUGAUGACUUCGGUCCAAAGAUUUAUCGGCAAAGGAUGAGCCCGCGUAGGAUUAGGUAGUUGGUGGGGUAAAGGCCUACCAAGCCGACGAUCCUUAGCUGGUCUGAGAGGAUGAUCAGCCACACUGGGACUGAGACACGGCCCAGACUCCUACGGGAGGCAGCAGUGGGGAAUAUUGGACAAUGGGCGCAAGCCUGAUCCAGCAAUGCCGCGUGAGUGAUGAAGGCCCUCGGGUCGUAAAGCUCUUUUACCCGGGAUGAUAAUGACAGUACCGGGAGAAUAAGCCCCGGCUAACUCCGUGCCAGCAGCC